GACGAACGCUGGCGGCGUGCCUAAUACAUGCAAGUAGAACGCACAGUUUAUACCGUAGCUUGCUACACCAUAGACUGUGAGUUGCGAACGGGUGAGUAACGCGUAGGUAACCUGCCUGGUAGCGGGGGAUAACUAUUGGAAACGAUAGCUAAUACCGCAUAAUAUUAAUUAUUGCAUGAUAAUUAAUUGAAAGGUGCAAUUGCACCACUACCAGAUGGACCUGCGUUGUAUUAGCUAGUAGGUGAGGUAACGGCUCACCUAGGCGACGAUACAUAGCCGACCUGAGAGGGUGAUCGGCCACACUGGGACUGCGACACGGCCCAGACUCCUACGGGGGGCAGCAGUAGGGAAUCUUCGGCAAUGGACGAAAGUCUGACCGAGCAACGCCGCGUGAGUGAAGAAGGUUUUCGGAUCGUAAAGCUCUGUUGUAAGAGAAGAACGGGUGUGAGAGUGGAAAGUUCACACUGUGACGGUAUCUUACCAGAAAGGGACGGCUAACUACGUG
rnacentral:rRNA from 1 species